rnacentral:lncRNA from 1 species
AGACUUUCGGAAAAAAUAAGAAGAAUAGAAUCAUAGGAAUUGGAGAAGCUGUCAGUAUGGUGAGCACAACGAACGAAAGAUGGGCUUCUCCAAAUUGGAAAGGAAAAGAGUCGAUCUCCGAAAACACGACUACUGAUGCAACACCAGAUGCAGUUUGGUCGGAAAAAUUCAAAGAAUUGGAGGUAUUUUAAAUAUAUUUCAAUAAUUUUGUUGAUUAUCGAACUCAUUUUUAUUUUCAUUUUCAGAACAAGUGUAACGAGAGUCAGAAAGACGUCUCCAAAUACAAGAAGAAGUUCAAU